rnacentral:lncRNA from 1 species
CAUCACGAUGCGCGACUUCUUGCCCGAAGACUUUUUCAAUCACGCGGUCAAAGCUCCUUGCUAUGAAAAUUGUGAGGAACGCCUCUCCAAAAUUGCUUGACAAAAUUCACAAAGCUCAUCGCCUGCACGAGCCUAAACUGCAUGGCAUAACGCUCCUGGUCUGCACGAGCAUAAAAGGCAACACCAACGCUCCUUGCCUGCAUGAGUUGAAACUGCAAACGGCACAACAACAAAAAAAAAAUGUAUGUAUUUGAACUACGUUAUGACUUGAUCUCUUCU